rnacentral:rRNA from 1 species
CCUACGGGAGGCAGCAGUGAGGAAUAUUGCGCAAUGGGGGCAACCCUGACGCAGCCACGCCGCGUGAGUGAGGAAGGCCUUCGGGUCGUAAAGCUCUGUCAAGAGGGAAGAAGUGCAUGGUGGUUAAUAUCUGUCAUGUUUGACGGUACCUGUAAAGGAAGCACCGGCUAACUCCGUGCCAGCAGCCGCGGUAAU